ACUUAUUAUUAAAACCAGUAAAAAUUUAUUUCUCAAAUACACAUAGCUUUGAAUUUAGAAAAGAAAAGCUCUAAGUCUAGCUCUGUGAGCCAAAUUUCAGCCCAUGACCAAUUUUGUUGUUGCACUGGAAAUUCCUGGGAAAUAGGUUAAGAAGGAGACACGAUGUCAAUUCCUGUGCUGCUAUAAACUGGGUAACACUUUGGAGGGUGAAGUAUGUCAGAGGAUGCAAUUCUUCUAUUGAAUAUUCCAGCAUUAUUUAUUUGAUCAAAGUAAAAUACUUUCCAUCACUACAAACUGAGCACAACUACAGUUGUUUACACAUCCAUAUUUUUUAUGACGUGCCAACAUUUUGCAUCCUAAGUGAUAACAUUUGGUUUGAAGAUAAUUUUACAGUUCCGUGUUUUGUUUCCUAUCUUCUCUCCUGUUGUCUCCCAUUCUCUGAAGACAUUUUAUAUUAACUGUGUAAGGAUCAUUUCCCCAGACACCUAAAUGGCAUGGAGCACAGCAGGGAACAGCACGAGAUUGACCAUGUGCAGGGAAAGGAUGGCAAACCCAACUUUGGCUAAGGACAUUGAGAACAACUUGGAAAGGUGAGCAGAGAGAUUCCAGGAGGUGGCAGUGAACCUACGUUCCCAUUUAUCAGAAACAAACAUGGAAGGUUACACACAUAAUCAGAGGUUGGAGGUUAAAAACUUCAGACACAAUCACUAGUAAAACAAAAACAAACAAAAAAACAUGCAUCACGAAUAUCAAUCUGCUUUGUAGUGUAUAUGUAAAUGUCAACUCAAAGGUCCACCUCUAGUAGCCUGAAUCUGUUCUUACUAUAGCGCUUAUCUGUACAGCCAUCGAACAUCAGUAAUGCUGAUUAGUAAAUACAGCACAAGCUUGACACAUGCAGGGAGAAAGAAAAAAGCCACAGUUCUUCCUUCCACCUUCCCCUAAGUCUCAGAAGUGGGGGAGGUAAUAAGUGAAGUUUUGAAAGGAAAUUGAAAUGCAAAUUGGAGAAGAAUUGUACAAGCCACAUUCUUCUCUCAUCAGCUGGUCAUUCUGCUACCUUCCCAAGGACAGAAGGACUCCUCAAAGGUACGUGGAAGUUUAGCAUUAUCUCCAGAGACUGUUUUGUUCUAUUAUCAAGGUGCUCAUGUUCAUCCAUAAGCACUGAGUCCUAUCUUUCUUAGUUCUGUGAGCCAAUGACUCCUUUUCAUUCUUUAAUCUCUCUAGGAUUUCCCAAAUUUUAUACUGUCGGAUCCAGGCCUUGGUUUAUUUGGAAAGUGGUUCAGCACCUUGAAGAUGAGCUGGCUCUGGAAAAGCACAUUCCUUGUCCCAGAGAAAAAGUAGGAAGGAGGUGAAAAAGGCAACGAACAAGAUCUUCUCGUUCCGUAAGUGCUUUGUGCAACAGCGUCCACGUAGAUCCAUUCCGACAGCAUCGUUUGGGGAGGAGUCUCCUGGACCCAGUCGGACGGCUUCCUCCAGAGUUCUGGUCUUGUCUGGAAGGGGCCGGUUCGGGCCAUGACUUUCCAGUUCUAGGACAGGCUGUGCGUGUCAGCGAAGGUGGCCCCAGCCCCGCCCCCUGCCCCCACGAUUGUGGGUGGGUCAGUACUGCAGAAACGCAGUCUGUCUCCAGCUCCCAGGAAGGUCAUCUGGGCGAGAUGCUGGGGCUGGGGAAGGAGCCGGAGUUCCGCGGCGACUGGAAGGGGAUGGCGGGUGACGUGGGGGACCUCUUGGGGCUGCACAGGUCCCCGUUGUGCAGUUUCCACAGCAGCUCCUCGUUCUCCAUGGAGAGGCGCUUGUUGACUUUGGACUCCUUCUCCAGCGACUCCUGCAAGACGGCCUGCUCCGUGGAAAGUUGCCUGGAAGACAACAACAACAAAAAAAGCCAGAAAUCCUGUGACUCUGAUUGCUUCUUUCUUUUUUUUUAAAGGUUGAAAAAAAUCUUACUAUUUUAAAUUUGAGAGCCCCAAAUGAUCUCUUUGGAAUAAAAGGAGCUACCGUGCAUGGGUACUGGGCUGGCAGAGAAACCCGGGAAGUGUGACCUAGAGCCAAAGAAAAAGCUGCACUUUGGGGCAAUUUCAUAGUACGGUACCUUCCUGACACCGGCACACACUGGAGAGAUUUCAUUUGGGAAAGUUUAAUGGUAUGUUGACUGUCUCUACACUGACGCACUGCAAAAAGAAUCUACUGCAGCAAAAGAGAGCACGUGGAUAUUACUUUUUAAAGGUAUGCCAGGCCACUUGAAAAUGGACAAACCCAGGGGGUUCGUGAUUUGUUCAAGUUCACAUUGUUUCAGAAUUCCCAAGAAUUGGUGCCCUGCCUUCGGCAACCCUCGGGGGCUGUGCCUCUUUCAGGUUCAAGGUGAUAAACACUGGCUACCUAGCGGCCGUUUUCUUUAUCAGAGGCACCGCAGCUUCUUACGCACUUACCUCCGAGUGGUCACAUAAGGCAAUCCACAAAGCUCUAUAGAGCCUUAAAAUCAACAAGUGACACUACAGAAAGCAUUCCUCCUUGGUUGAACUAAAGAUACGUUUGUUUGCCUAGGGCUUGCCCAGGCUAAACUUUCAAGGAAAACAAGCUGAUCAGUUGAGAGAGUGAAGGAUAAAAGCCCAGAAGACGUUGAAUCAGUUAACACGAUGAACUGCCAGUUACAUCCCUGCUUAGUUUCUAAAGGAACUGCUGCAGGAUCAGGAAGCUCUUUAAAAGCGUUCCCUGAACCACUCAUAAGAUUUACACCCUGCGUGUGAAGUCUACAGCUUUCUUUUGCAAUCGAAUUUUUCUAAGAAUCUUCCAGAAUAAAUAGCUUUGAAAUUUCAUUGAAUAGGACCUCAUCCAAUUGCAUUCAAAUGUCUAGAGGGUCUCUCACUGACAUAGCAGAAGAGCUCACUGAGGGAGCCAGGUACUUCGAGAGUUGCGACAGGUCUUAAGUGGCACAAAAGCUCUGCUUCUGCAGCCCCAGACACAAAUACGUGGAAUGAAAAGACAGAAGCAGCACCCGCCCCCCGCAAAAA